AUGCUUCUGACCCUCAUCGAAGGAGACAGUGCCUGCCAGAAGGCACCAGUAUGGAGACAGAGACUGUCAACCACAAAUCAGAAGGCUGAGCCCAUUAAUGGUUCCUCACCAGACCUUCUUUGGUCCACUCGCUGUCUUCACUCUUCGCUCAUCCUUGGAGGGUACCAGAGGCCAUAUUGGGUCUUACUUUUUGCGAUGCCCCAUAGGAGAAAGGUAAAGAGGCUUAGCAGAGGGAAGGGGUAUAUAAGAUUUUCUCAUUCAGUACAGAGAAUAUUGGAAGAAAGUGCUAAUUAAGUACUGCAGUAAUCCUUAUUGCUUCCAUGUUCUACUUCUUGUAAUUUUUCUUUUUUAUAAUCUCCUCUAAUCCUUAGUCAAUAGCCUCCUUAUCAGUCAACAAACUCAAAUUUCAGACCUGCUUUGGUUUGCAUAUGAGUUACUCCUUAGAGGAGCUUUAGAUAUGUGCUAAGAAGACUACUUGGGCAAAUAAGGGCUAAAUAAUGUUUUAAUAUGACAUUUCUCUAACUCAUCUUCAAAAACAUGCUGAGAUGGACUGGAUAGCAAAUAACAACGUAGAUGUCAAAAUAACUUUCUAAAAAUUGAACUAAUAAAAGAACUAGAAGAAAAUAUUGUGACUAGUAU
rnacentral:lncRNA from 1 species